CCUCGGCCGGCGCGGACCCCUGGUUGCCCCGGGGUCGAGAGCAGCCGGGGAGAGCUGAGUUCAGAGCCCAGAGUUGGACAUCAGGCCACACGCUGAGAGGGUAGUAAAUGAAAGGGAGUCCGGUUUAGUCGCGGGCAGGGCAUCUCCUCUUCUGCUUGUCUAAAAGUCGCUGGGUGCAGGGGAAGCAAUACUAAGCGGGAAUUUCUUUUUAGUGGCAUCUACACAAUUUGCCUUUCCUGGUUUUUGUUUUGUUUUGUUUUGUUUCCUAAGGAGGGGGAGGCUCUGUAGAGGAAGCUUCGGCCCUGGGUGCCCCUGGGUUGGGAGCAGUCGGGGAGCGCUGAGCCAGGGCGCACGCCCUGUCGGCGCUGCGGGUGUGGGGCGCAGGAGUCCUUCUGGCCGGCCCCUCCGCCCCCCGGGGAGGCUGGAGCUCUCCAAGGCCGGGGAGCCUCCCGAAGCGCGCUGCCCCCUCUGUUCUCCGCGUGCUUUCACUAGGGCCCCAUGCUGCUUAGUGGCCGAUUUGCAGGGAAUCUGGGCACAAUCUUAAUAACACCAGGGCCAAAAAUAACAACGUUCCUGGGAACCGAGCAGCUGGAGCGCACCCCAUGGACGCUGGGCCAUCUCCCCGGGGACUAGUGCCUGACAGAGCUGACAGAGUUCUAGGCCACAUGUGGGCUAGAAGGAACCGCCAUGUCUACCACAGCACAGUCCUUAAGCAGGAGCCUUUUGAAGCACUUGGACUCAAAACAAUGGCUGUUUGUUGUUGUUGUUGUUGUUGUUUGUUUGUUUUGAGGGAGCCAGAAAGCUAAAAAAUGUAAAAGAAGCAGGUCACAUUAGACAUGAUUUCAGACAGCCUCCCCGAAGGACAGAUGAUCUCACUUGGCAACACAUACUGGGCCAGGCUCACUCAUGAGGGGGCAGCGUGGCAUGCACCCCACUCAGGGGCAAGAAUGAAGCUUAAAUAUUAGCUGACUCAGAACAUAGCAAGUGCUCAGUAAUGGCUUCUGGAACGAACCCGUGGUUGUCACCAGCAGGAGUGACGAAAGCUAGAAGCCGUUUCACCAUCCAAGGAAGAGGAGGAACAAUAUUUUUCUCUUUGGAGUUCCCACACUCAGAAGAGAGAACACCAGCAUAUGAACACAGAGUGUCACAUGAUGUAGGAAACAUCCUGUAGGUAGAGAGUAUAAUUCCAAAGCUUAGGAUCCUGCUAGUUCCUUGUGCAGUGCUUCCGGUGGGCAACAUGGUGCCUCCCCAGUCCCUCAGGCUUGAGGCGGGCCAGCACAGCUUCUCUGGGAGCCAGGUCAUUUCAGAAUUUAACCCCAGAACUAGGUCACCCCAGGCAACACAAGGCUCCUCUCCCUUGGAUACAGGAAGCGGAGGAAAAGGCCAGGCAUGCUCAGGGGCAAACCAACACCCAGGUGAAAGGGAGCUGGGCUGGUUUCGGGGAGCAGCCUGGUUUCAGGGAGCCGGACUCACGAUGUGCUUGAGACCCUCAAAUUCACCCCUGGAAGCAGCUGCCCCCGUGACAAGGAACUAAGGACAGGCAUGUCAUGGACUGUGAAUUGGAGUGACAUUUGUCCCUCCCUUCACCAACAGACUGCCCCAAGAGCUUCCCAAGUUAUCUGCCAUAGAAUACCUUGUUUCCCUCGAGUCUCUGAAAGGGGGCCGCAAAAGCUGUCCCCACGCUGGAAAUGCAGGGCCAGGCUUUUAAAGUUUUGCUCCCGGAUUAUGAGAACACCUAGAAAAUUCAGUGCUCCUCUCCACUCCCCCAAACCCCUUCACAAGCCCCCACCCUUUGUUUAACAAACAUAUAUAUAGUGCUUUCCUGGUACCAGAUACUACUUUAAGCACUUGACAAAAUAUUUAGUCAUACAUAAAACCCUUAUAAUUACACUGUAAUUCACUCUCGUCAGAUCCAGUCAUUGUGAAGAAACGGAGGCACGGGGAGAUUAAGAGAGCUACUUAAGAAGACACGGUGCCAGGUUUCUACCCAAGCCAUUUGGAUCUAGGGUCUGGAGGCCAUAUGGGAUCUCAUUCUGUCACCCAGGCUUGUAGUGCAGUGACCCCAUCACGAUUCACUGCAGCCUUGAACUCCUGGGCUCAAGCAAUCCUCCUGCCUCAGCCUCCUGAGUUGCUAAGGCCACAAAUAUUUAUCCAUUUUACUGCUAAUGCAAUUUGAGCUGUUUUCAACUUUUUCCUAUUAAAACAUUAUUGCUAUGAACAUUCUUAUAAAAGCUUCCCAGUGCACGUGUGUGAGAUCUUUCUAGUGUGUAUGCUAGCAGGAGAAUUACUGAGUUUUACCGUACAUGUAUCUUCAAUCUUAUUAGAUAACACUGACUUGUUUUUGAAAUUGGCUCUUCCAAUUUACACUGUCAACAGCAGGGUUAUGUGGUUGCCCUGCAAGUUCAACAACAUUUGGUAUUGUCAGACUUUAAUAUUUUUGUCAAUCUGGUUGGUAUAAAAUGGUAUGGUGUGGUGCUUUUUAUUUGCAUUUCCAUGAUUACUAAUGAGGUUGAGCAUCUUUUCACAUGUUUAUGGGCCAUUUACUUUUCCUCUUCUAUGAAAUUACUAUUCAAGCCCUUUGCCCAUUUUUCUGUUAUGUUGUUUGUCUUUUUCUUAUCGAGGUGGAGGAGUUCUCUGCAGUCUGAAUACGAAUCAUUUUUCAGUUAUGUGCAUUGAAAAUAUCUCCUCCCAGUGUGUAGUUCUUUACACUUUUUAAAAUGGUAUCUUUUAACGAACUAAUAUGGGUUUUAAUGUGUCAAAUAUGUUGAUCAUUUUCUUUAUGGUUUGUGUUUCUUUUGUCUUAAGGAGUCCACUUCUACCCUGAGCUUAUACAAUUUUUUCUGUAUUAUAUUUAUUUUAUAGGGUUU
rnacentral:lncRNA from 1 species